ensembl:lncRNA
AUCUUGUUGGAGAUCUGUGUAUAUCUGAGGUCUUCUGAAGGAUGUUACCUGUUCAUUAAGGCACGGUUCUAGUGAGAAUUAUAAUUCCCAUUUGAGAGGAAUACUAUUGAACAUGUUCCAGUAAAGUGACUUCUUAAAUUUUCUUGAGCCUGGAAAUGAGAGGAAAUCAUGCAUGGGAACUGUGAAGAAGAUUGGUCAUGAUUCUUGCAAGAUAGUAACUCCACAUAGGAUCCUAUACUAUUUUAGUAUUAAAACACAGCCAAGAAAAGAGAAAAUAAUAGAUUAGAGUUUUUACUAAUUACUAUUUAUUUCUUGAAUUCUUGCUGUUUUCAUUUCUUGUUAGGUCUUAUCUCAGAAAUGGUAUCUGGUUCACCUGUUUUAUGCAUCUGCUUUCCCAACUCCUGUAUAUGAUGCACUGGCUACUUGCUAGUAUUUUUUAAAUAUUUAUUUAUUUGUUUGUUUGUUGAUCAAAUUCACUCCAUUAUAAUAUCAGAAAAAUGUUCAUAACACUUUCAGUAAUGCAGGAAACUGCAUGAGACCUUUUGUAAACAGGGAGAGAAAAUAGCUGUAAAUUGUUAGGCAUGGGCCUUGCAUGGGAUCACUUUUCUUUAAUUCUCUCUGACACCUCUUUAAAAAUUGCUCAUUUACCAGUAACCAGGAAGAAAUAAGAUGGCUUCUUUCUGUGUGUGUAAUUUUUAAAUGAUAUAUGCAUAGACAUAAAUAAUUUCAGAAGCCAAAAAAAUGCCAGGGAAACUAUUACUUCCAGUGCUAGUGUUGAAACAGUGCCAAGCCCAAAGUUUUGUAAAUUGGGCUGUAAGUGUGAAAUCCCUCCAGCUGUUAAAAGUAUUCCAUAUCUAAUUAUAUUUACAGUUUUUAGACUACUCCAGUUGGAGAAUCCUGAAACUGCAUACUGCAUGCCUGGAAGCAAGAGCCACAUGCGUUCAGUGAAAACCUCCAAAACAUAAAGAAAGCAAAUAGACAAAAUAGAUAAGCCACAUAUUUGUGUGGUUUUGUCAGUGUUUUCCUAUGUGGCUUUCUUUGUUUUCACAACAUUUCUUUCUGAACACCAUUUACUGUAAUGUGCCCACCCUGUCAUUCCAGAUCCCAUGAACAGCUAUAUGUAAGGAAGUGUCUAUUACACAUUUUACAAAAUCUGUUUGUAUGAAAGACUAAAACAACAGCUGCAUGAGAGCAAUGAACCCCCCAGAGGAGGUAAAGCUUGUUUGUAUUCACUGCUCUAGCCUUCAAAAACCAAUUAAAAAGGCUCUUCUUGAGCAUCAAAUUGUAUUGUCAGAAAGUGGAGAAGAUGCCUGUUUUUUGGUGAAUAAUUUCAUGCUAGUCUGACAGGAACUGAAUUUUUAAAAAUUUGCUAGUGAACUUCACAACUGUAUCUGACCUUAGCAAGUUCGCAUUGCAAAAAAAACCAAAACAAAACAAAACAAAAAAACCCACCUGAUUAUUAAUAGUUAAUAUCUUGACACUCCUUACUAAAAGUACUCAUCACAGUCACCCUCUUGAAUGAGAAUCUAGUGAUGUAAUUGUUACAUUAAAAAUAAGUAUUUGGGGACUUAGCUUGGUGUCAUGAGAGCAACAAAAGGUCAGCAAUGGUGGGAAGAUGUGAAAGGUGUUGGCCAUCAGCAAUGUUUGCCGUCAUACUUACUUUGUUCUCCUCUGGCUGAUAUUUGUUUUUUCUUUUCCAUAUGUUCCCUUUGUAGGAGCUUCAAUAGUGAUACAUAAAAAUGUAUCUGUCUAUAUGAAGGUUUACUCAUUCAUUUGUUGUACAUCCAAAGCUAAAUGAAACCAGUAGAUGUUCUUCAAAAUCAAAGUUUCUGUGAAAGGAAAUGAAAGUACUACUCUUUUGUCACCUUUGGUGUUUGAAUAGAAAUACAUUAAGUAAACAUUACAGCCAUUUAAAC